rnacentral:rRNA from 1 species
AAGGCCUUCGGGUUGUAAAGCACUUUCAUCGGGAGCGAAACACUAUCGGUUAAUAACCGGUGGGCUGACGGUACCCGAGGAAUAAGCACCGGCUAACUUCGUGC